rnacentral:lncRNA from 1 species
CCCUGUGUGAAGGAUGGCAGUGUCGUGGAGUACAACACGUCUGAGAACAAGCUAUCUGUGAUCAAGGCGCCAUUUGAGGUCCAGGACCAGAAGAUUGAGCUCAUGGGGGUGGAGGACGGAAUGCUGCUGUUUGCGUCUGUGGUGAAGCCUAGACUCUACCUAUGGUCAAUGGAGGCUGGUCCCAGGGGAGCUGCGGGACGGGCACGAAGCAGGUUCAUCGAGCUCGGGCCGUUGCUCCCUAGUACUGUCCUCGUGGACAACACCGAAGUGUCGGCGGUUGGUUUUGCGGAAGGUGUUGGUAUCAUCUUCAUCAAGACAAGGGUUGGGUUGUACACAAUUCAGCUCAAAUCAAAACAAAGCGACCAGGCAAUAAGGUUGGUGCACAGAGGGUACAUCAAUAAGGUCAUACCCUACAUGAGCUUCUACACUGGAGGUACAGAUAACUGUUUCCAAACAUGCACAUUAAGUCAUGAACUCUAAGCACACCAUCGACUACUAUUAUUGCUUGUAGCUUAGAUAGUUGAAUAAUUUAAAGGCUGAGUUCCUAGUGUGGUAUGUGAUUCCUAAACAUCGGCGAGUAUGUAGAGUUUUUCUUCUAUUUUUCUGCAUAACUAAAUAGAUAUCUGUAUGUGGGUCUGCUCGCAUUUUUCUGGCCUUUGGGUGAUUUGUAGAGAUGUUAGGAAGCAGGAGCCCAUUCUUUGUGCUGUUAUACUAUUCAUUCAGGUGUUGAGUCGUGCUGCAGACCUGGGUGAUUAUAGGCAACCAUGAGUAACCCGUGAUUUUUCAUGCCAUGUUGUCUUUGCGUCUAUAGAAGCCAGAGAAAAAGAUACAGUAGUCGCGUGGAAUUGGCGUCCGGCAGAUUAACUAGGCAUCUGACUAAAGAAUUCCAUGGUGGAUGUAUAAUUUCAUUGGCUGCGCUAUUAUAUGUUGUGCUGAUUGGCUUUACUGCCGGUAAGCCUUAGUUAAAACUUUGCUGAUCAUGUCCUAAGAUUGGCAAGAGCAGUUUGCAAAUCAGUCAAGUGAUCAGAGCUUUGCUGUGAGCCAAGAGGUCUCUGGCACCCAAACAUCUGUGUAGUGUUUUGGAUAGGAUAACCUAGUCCCAGGCAUGCACUAGGCACUUGUCCAUGAGCCUGCCCGAAUGAAAGAGAUGAUUUCAUUGUUGCGUACUUAGAGCAUUGUAGGUCCAGAUUGAACCGUGUUGUGAUGUGGAUGCUUCCUGCUAUCGCUUUGUUGAUUUGGUCAGUUAGAAAUGAAAUGAUUUUGAGAGCAGUGUGCUCCUCUCUACUCAUCAUGUCAUCUUAUGAAGCCUUGUCUCUACAUGAGCUUCUACACUGGAGGUACAGACACGCACAUUAAGUCAUGAAUGCUAAGCAUACCAUCGACUACUAUUAUUGCUUAUAGCUUAGAUUGUUGAAUAAUUUAAGUCUGAGAGUUCCUAGUGUGGUAUGCGAUUCCUAAAUGUCAAAGAGUAUGUAGAGUUUUUUCUUCUAUUUUUCUGCAUAAGUAGAUACAUAUCUGUAUGCGGUCUAGUUUGUGGGUGAUUUGUAGAGAUGUACUCCCUCCGUCCCAUAAUAUAAGAGUGUUUUUGACAUUAGUGUAGUGUAAAAAACGCUCUUAUAUUAUGGGACUGAGGGAGUAGGAAGUAGGAGCCCAUUCUUUGUGCUGUUAUACCAUUCAGAUGUUGAGUCGUGCUGCAUACCUUGGUGAUUGUAGGCAACCAUGAGUGGCCUGUGAUUUUUCCUGCCAUCUUUGUCUUUGUGUUGAUAGAAGCCAGAGACAAGGAUACAAUAGUUGUGUGGAAUUGGGUUAGCCAGACUAACUAGGCGGCUGACCAAAGAAUUUGAUGGUGGAUGUAUAGAUUUAUGUUUCAUUGGCUGCUCUAUUAUAUGUUUCGCUGAUUGGUGUUACGAGUUGGUAAGCCUUAGUCAAAGCUUUGCUGAUCAGGCCCUAAGAUUGCCAAGAGCAGUUUGUAAAGCAACUAAGUGAUGAGAGCUUUGCUGUGAGCCAAGAGGUCUCUGGAAGCCAAACAUCCCUGUGGUGUUUUGGGUAGGAUAACCUAGUCCCAUGUAUGCAUUUGGCAUUUGCCCACGAGCCUGCCCGAAUGAAAGAUAUGAUUUCAUUGUAGCAUUGUAGGUCCAGAUUGAAUCGUGUUGUGAUGUGGAUGCUUCCUGCUAUCACUUUUGUUCAUUUGAACAGCUAGAAAUGAAAUGAUUUUGAGGGCACUCUCUAGUCAUCAUGUCAUCUUAUGAAGCCUUGUCUCUUAUGGUGCAGCAUGGGGGCCUUUGCCAGCAUCUGAUGAAGCUUAACGCGCAGUUGUUGAUGCUACAAUGAUAUAACCAAAUGGCGCCAGGACUUGGGUUUACUUUCUCUACCCAGGAAGAAUUUGAAGUGAACUUGAGCCUCAUUCACUGCCGGUUGUGUUGAACAGUUUGGUUAGUGUGGAUGCGCUUUUGUCCUAUUUGUGCUUGUGCCAUAAACUUCGAGUUUGUUUGUUCGUCCGAGUUGGGUGCAGCUCAAACUGUCCAUCAGGAGAAGUUUUAGCGAUCGGUUGGCGGUUUUGUGGCAUGAUGAAUUGGUGCAGAUUUCUCCUUCUCUAUCUUUGGCUGUUAGAGAUGAUGUUGUUGUCUCGAAAAUGCACUCUACUGAGAUUUUUGAUGUGGAAUCUCUCUAUGCUAUGCAGUAAGAAAUUUCAGGGGAAGUAAAUCCCCACCCGGGUUCACUGUUUCUGUCUGGCUUUAAACUAUGGACAAUGUGGCCAAGAGACAGAUUAUUAGUGAUAAAACACGUCUUUUUGGUGCAAUUUGUCACUUAUUUGUUGGAUGGCCUGUGGCCAAGCUGUGGUGGUCUUAAUUUGUUGAGCUCUCAGCAAUCACGUAUUACUUGAAACCACAGGAAGUUGCCACGAAUCCGCUAGAUAAAUCACGCAAGAUAUAGCCACAAGCGCAUCUUCUUCGUCCUAUGUCUUAUGUCUUAUGUGUCGACGAUGAUCUUUGCAUCUCGGGAAGUGCGGAUUGUCACAGAGCACAAAUAAAAAUUCUUCACUUGUAGAGUGAGGACCCCCUGAACCCAUGUGCAUAUGAACCCGCUUUAAAAGAAUGCAUUUUAAACGUGUUUUAAAAUGUCAAAUAUUAAAAACAAAAUUUCAUGCAUACAUCUUCACAUAAUGUGUGCGCGGCACAAAAUAUUGUGGGAAAACCUCUUUUUAUUUGAAUCCUCGAAAAAGACAAUUUUCAGUGCUUCUAAAUAGUGUUCCACGACACCUUUUUGUAUCUUUUUUGCAUAGGUCAAAGAAAAAGUUGUUUUUCCGCGAAACUUUCUGCACAUGCAUAGAAUGUGAAGCUGUCGGUGUGAAAUUGUUUUUAGAAUUUUUUGGCAUUGCGAAAUGAGUUAUUGUUUUGCCAUGGGUUCAGAAUGUACUUUCUAAACCAGGUUUUUUCUUCUUCUUCUAAACUAGGUGAUGGCUCGGCCGCGCGUAAGGGUCCUCUUCCCCUCGUCCCUCUCCAGCCCAGCCCAGCCCAGCUCAGCCCAGAUCGUGCUUUCGAUGCAUACUUAAAAAAACCGCAGUGUUCUUUCCAACGGGCUUCUCUCCUGGGGGGUCGCGCCUAGCGCAAUGAAUAUCAUAUGUUGGAACUGUCGUGGGGCUGGCAAACCCGCGACAGUUCGCGAGCUUCGUGAUAUGACGAGGCAAUUUGCCCCUCUAUAGCUUGUAUCCUUGAAACCCAAAUAGAGGGCUCUAGAGUAGACAAUCUUGCUGGUACACUUGGUUUUGAUAGUAGCUCUGCUGUAAGUAGCUCUGGUAGGAGCGGAGGACUCGGAAUAUUUUCGAAUGAAUCAAUAAAGUUAGAAGUAAUUGGCUAUUCGGAAUAUCACAUAGAUGUUACUGUCGAGGACGGAGGAUCAGCUUGUAGAUUAACUUUUGUGUAUGGAGAGGCUCAAGUCCCGGAAAGAUACAAGACAUGGAACAUGUUGACGGGCAUUGUCAGUGUGUCUAACUUACCUUGGGCAGUUAUAGGGGACUUUAAUGAGGUACUUACACCCCAAGAACAUGAUGGCGUCGGGCAACGCAGUUAGGCGCAAAUGGAUGCAUUCAGAGAUGCACUCGAUACUUGCGGACUGGUGGACAUAGGAUAUCACGGGAACAACUGGACGUUUGAGAAGAAAGUUACGGGCGGGACGUUUACGCGUGUGCGCCUGGACAGAUGCGUAGCAACGCCCAGCUGGAUCGCCCAAUAUCCACAUGCAAUAUUGGAACAUAAAACGGCUGCGUCGUCCGACCACUCACCACUGUUACUACGACGAGACUGCGUGCAUGCAUGCAGAUCGGGUCCGCGGUCAUUUAAAUAUGAGCUAGCCUGGGAGAGACAUCCGGAGCUGCAGCAGGUGGUCGCUGCUGGAUGGACUUCAAACCCGGCGGACAGCGUUGCGGCCAUGCAUGAAAAGCUCAACGCACUUUCAACUGAUUUGUCAAACUGGGAGCGGACAAACUUUGGGAAUGUUAGGUAGGAAAUUGCAAAUCUAAAAAAGGAACUGGACACUUUGCGAUCGGCUCCAGGACGUUUUGCUCCAUCUCACGUGGAAACUAAAAUCACUGAUAGACUAGUCGAGCUCUAUCAUCGGGAAGAGAUUCUUUGGAGGCAACGAGCUCGCCUAGAGUGGUUAGCUCACGGGGACAAAAAUACGUACUUUUUUCACCUAAGAGCAAGCAGGAGACGAAGGAAGAAUCAAAUUAAAUCCCUUCAGCUACCUGAUGGCCGAGUCACGGAGGACAAAAUGAGUUGGAGGAAGCUGCAUCAGCAUUUUAUUCUGACUUAUAUAGCUCGGAGGGUGUACAAAACAUGGAGCAGGUUAUUGAUACAGUACCUCGUAGAGUCACUGAUGAUAUGAACGUCAUCUUGAAUGCCCCAUACACACAGGACGAGGUCAAAACAGCGUUGUUCCAAAUGUUUCCUCUGAAGGCACCGGGCCCUGACAGCUUUCCAGCACACUUUUCCAGCGACACUGGGAGGUAUGUGGUGAUGAGGUAACAAAAGCAGUACUCAGAAUUGUGUCUGGAACAGAGUCUGCAGAAAGUAUCAAUGAUACUAUGUUGGUCCUUAUUCCAAAGGUAAAAAAACCAACGUUAUUAACUCGGUUUUGCCUGAUCAGCUUAUGCAACGUUUUGUACAAGAUUGCUUCCAAGGUUAUUUCUAAUCGUUUGAAGAUAGUUCUGCCGGAUAUAAUCUCAGAGGAGCAGUCAGCCUUUGUGCCUGGGAGAUUAAUCACAGACAACAUUAUCACGGCAUAUGAGUGCCUUCACUUCAUGAAACGGAACAAAGCUAAGAAGAACCAACACUGCGCUUUGAAGCUAGAUAUGACGAAGGCCUAUGAUAGGGUGGUGUGGUCUUAUCUUCAGGCUAUUAUGAUAAAACUUGGCUUCACAGAAGGCCGGGUGAACAUUGUGAUGAACAUGGUCAUGUCGGUAAAAUUUUCCGUUUUGUUCAAUGGUAAGAAACUUCACCAGUUUACACCUACACGUGGAAUCCGACAGGGGGACCCGAUCUCCCCUUAUUUGUUUUUGAUAGCAGCAGAGGGCCUUUCGUGCCUUAUAAAAUCCAGAGAAGAGUCAUCUAACCACAGUGGUAUACAAGUGGCUCUAAUGGCGCCACCAGUUAGCCACCUGUUAUUUGCAGAUGACAGCCUGCUAUUUUUCAAUGCAAAUGGAGAGGGAGCAUUGGGUGUGCUUCAGAUGUUGGAUAGUUAUUGCCAGGCCAUAGGUUAGAGGAUCAACUAUGACAAGUCAUCGAUUUUCUUCAGUGUGGGAGUUCCAGAUAGUGUGAGGGCAGAAGUUAAGGGAUUGCUCAAUGUCCCUAAUGAAACCCUCAGUGAGAAAUACUUGGGUAUGCCAUCGGAUGUAGGUUCUUCAAAAAAUGGUGCUUUCAAAUAUCUCAAAGACCGAUUAUGGAGUAAGGUACAGGGAUGGAUAGGAAAGACUAUGGCAAUGACGGGGAAGGAGGUUCUUGUCAAGGUGGUGGCUCAGGCAGUUCCGGUAUUUUCUAUGUCAUGUUUUAAGCUCCCUAGAGGCUUGUGUGAACAUCUCAACAUGCUGAUUCGCAAAUUCUGGUGGGGAAGCCGGGAUGGUAAGAGAAAACCUGCAUGGGUGGCCUGGGAGGACAUGACCAAACCGAAGGACAUGGGAGGUCUUGGGUUUAAGGAUUUUGAGCUAUUUAACCUUUCAUUACUUGUUAGGCUGGCGUGGAGGAUACUACAGUCGCCAGACUCAUUGAGUGCACGUGUUCUCAGGGCCGUCUAUUUUCCAAAUACAUCUAUUCUUGAGGCAGCACUCAGAAACCACCCAAGCCAAAUUUGGAGAGCCAUAGUAGAAGGGAGAGACAUACUCAAAAUUGGCCUGAUUCGUAGAAUUGGGGACGGCGCCACCACAAGCAUCUGGGCUGACAAUUGGCUGCCUAGGGAGGAGAUGAUGAGACCAUAUGGUUGCAAGGUAUCAAACCCUCCCCAAUAUGUGUCCGAGCUCAUCGACCCAACUACAGCCAGCUGGAACAUGGACCGCCUGCAGCAAGUUAUGCUCCCUAUCGACAUACCAAUCAUAACUAGCAUCCCGCUUUGCACCAGAACAACUGCAGAUUUUUGGGCUUGGAAUCAUGAAAGAUAUGGCCUGUUCUCGGUUAGAUCUGCAUACAAAAUGCUUGUCCACACAAAAGAGCGCCGGGAAGCGUGGCUAGAGGGAGUUGCAGGACCGUCCAACACAGCGCGUGAGCGCAGUUCUUGGAGGUCAUUGUGGAUCACUAAGGUACCGGGGAAGAUAAGGAUGUUUCUCUGGAGGCUUGCUAGGCAUUCGCUGCCAACGGAAGAUGUCAGAGAACAUCGACACAUGUCUUCGACAAGCUCAUGCGCACUAUGUGGCGCUCCAGACUUGUGGCGGCAUUCUUUGCUAGAGUGCACAAUGUCACGAUGCAUUUGGGCGUUAGUUCAUGGAGAGCUGGCAGAGCAACUGAGGUUAACAUCGGAACCAGCCGCAAAAUCUUGGUUGUUCUUUAUGAUUCAAGCACUAUUGCAUGAAGCUUUUCUCAGGCUUGCAGUAACACUUUGGGCGAUCUGGUCUGCAAGAAGGAAGGCCAUCCAUGAAGGAGAUUUCCAGAGUCCAGGAGCCACACAUGCAUUCAUCAACAUGUACCUGAUGGACUUGGAGAUCAUCAAGGAGAAGCCGCAAACGACGCACAAUGCAACCAGGAACCAGGGGCGAGCUGCUGGAAGAACUCGCCCUAGGGCACCGCCACUGGGACAUGCCAAAAUACACGUUGAUGCCGGUGUAUCUAUCCAUCAUAGGAGAGGUGCAACAGCGGCAGUUUGUCGAGACGAGCAUGGCAACUAUCUGGGGAGCUCCUCCCUAGUGGUCACGGGAGUUCAUGAUGCGGCUACACUUGAAGCAAUUGCCUGUCGUGAAGCGUAUGCUUUGGCUGAGGAUCUAGUGCUUCACAACUUUAUUGUGGCAUCGGAUGCAAAGCAAUUGGUUGUUGACAUUCACAGCAAUGCUAGAGGACCAUAUGGCUCUAUCAUCAAUGAGAUUAGAGCAAGGGCGGUGAAUUUCACUAGCAAGAUUGUAUAUGAAGGUCGUAGAUCAAAUACAGAUGCUCAUAGGUUAGCUAAAUUUUCGUUAACUCUUGUACAUGGGCGCCAUGUGUGGCUUCUAAACCAACAUGAUCCAAACUGUAUCCCACAAACUGUGGUUUUCGAUGAAUAAAGUUAUGUUCAUCCCUCAAAAAAAACUUAAAAAAACUUCAAUUAAAUUUAAAAAAUAAAUAAAAGACUGGUCUCGAUGGGGGAUUGAACCCAUGACCUUCCUCAUAUCGGACAGCUACGGGACCACAACAAGUAAUCAUGUUAUUAAAUUAUAUUAAUAGAAAAAUUAAAAUAAAAGGGUUAGAUAAAAUAACCGUGAAACUUUCAUUAACACAGUUCUGUCGCUAACCAUCUGAUGGUCUGACCUCAACCCAUAAUUCUAUUAUUACAAUAUAAAAUUUAAUUAAUAAAAAUAAAAAGGUUAGAGAAAAUGUGGCAACACUUCUUUUUUGAGAAACAUGAUGGCAACCUUCUGAACUGUGCGGCACGCAAACCAAUUUAUGGUUGGAUGGUUAGAUGGACUGUGGUAUCCCUAGCCCACCAAGGUUCAAAUCCUGGUGCUCGCAUAUGUUCCUGGAUUUAUUUCAGGAUUUUUGGCGAUGCGCAUUAAGUGGGAGGAGACGUUCCCGAGGUGCCUACGGUGACUUUGUAAAUUUCAAGAUGAUAUGCCGGCUCAGUCUUUCAGAGGUGCUUGAUACGUCUUCAACGUAUCUAUAAUUUUGAUUGCUCCAUGCUACUUUAUCUAUUGUUUUAGGCAAUAUUGGGCUUUAUUAUCCACUUUUAUAUUAUUUUUGGGACUAACCUAUUAACUGGAGGCCCAGCCCAGAUUUGCUAUUUUAUUCCUAUUUCAGUGUUUCGUGGAAAAGGAAUAUCAGACGGAGUCAAAACGGAACGAAAUCAACUGGAGAAGUUAUUUUUGGAAGGAAAGCCACCCGAUGGACUUGGAGUGCAUGUCAGGAGAUACGGGAGGUACUCACGAGGGUGGGGGGCGCGCCCACCCCCUAGGGCGUGCACCCCUGCCUCGUGGGGCCCUCGUAGCUCCAUCGAUGUACCCCCUGCACCCAUAUAUACCUACGUAUCAUAAAACUUCUAGAACAGAAGAUAGAUCGGGAGUUCCGCCACCGAAAUCCUCCAGAGCCACGAAAAACCAAUCGGGACCCUGUUCCGGCACUCUACCGGAGGGGGAACCCAUCACCGGUGGCCAUCUUCAUCAUCCCGGGGAUAUCCAUGACGAGGAGGGAGUAGUUCACCCUCGGGGCUGAGGGUAUGUACCAGUAGCUAUGUGUUUGAUCUCUCUCUCUCGUGUUCUCUCUCGUGUUCCCUCUAUGACACGAUCUUGAUGUAUCUCGAGCUUUGCUAUUGUAGUUGGAUCUUAUGAUGUUUCUCCCCCUCUACUCUCUUGUGAUGAAUUGAGUUUCCCCUUUGAAGUUAUCUUAUCGGAUUGAGUCUUUUAUGAGAACACUUGAUAUAUGUCUUGCGAUCCACUUGAUGUAUGUUUUGGUGAUCAACUUGCGGGUUUCGUGACAUUGGGAACCUAUGCAUAGGGGUUGGCACACGUUCUUGACUCUCCGGUAGUAGCUUUGGGUCACUCUUUGAAGUACUUUUAUGUUGGUUGGAUGAAUCUGAGAUUGUGUGACGCAUAUCGUAUAAUCAUGCCCACGGAUACUUGAGGUGACAAUGGAGUAUCUAGGUGACAUUAGGGUUUUGGUUGAUUUGUGUCUUAAGGUGUUAUUCUAGUACGAACACUUUUAUAGAUCGAUCCGAAAUAAUAACUUUGAGGUAGUUUCGUACCCUACCAUAAUCUCUACGUUUGUUCUCCGCUAUUAGUGGCUUUGGAGUGACUCUUUGUUGCAUGUUGAGGGCUUGUUAUAUGAUCUAUCUAUGUUAUUAUUGUUGAGAGAACUUGCACUAGUGAAAGUAUGAACCCUAGGCCUUGUUUCCUAUCAUUGCAAUACCGUUUACGCUCACUUUCACUACAAGAAAUAUGUCAACUAGUGACCUUCUGUCAAUGACCCUGGAAGAAUUGGUCAUAGAUCUAUGACCAUUUCAGACCAAUUGGUCAAAAGCUGUUCGGAGGGCUCCAAACCCUAAACCAUUGCGACCAUUUUGGUCAGAAAGGUCGUAAUUUCCUUACAUGAAAUGGUCACAAAGCAAACAGUGCUAGUCCGCUGCCUUAUUUCUAGUUGUUAAUGACCAAUAUAGAUGGUCAUAGCCUUGUAGAUUGUGGUGGGUUGUGAUGACUAGGCGUCAUCUCAUCAGUUUUGCCUAUGUGUCAUGUCCAUGUGGCAGUUUUUGCCCUAGGUUGUGAAGCAACCUAUAUUUCUGUUAUUCCAAAAAUUCCCAAAAAAAUCUCAUAAGUUUUUUGGAUCAUAUCUUCAUAAAAAAUGUCAAAAACAUUCCUUGCCUAGUUCAAAAAUAAUUCGAAAAUAUUCAUUUUCCUAUUUUGUUCAGAGCAGCACUUUGUGAAGGAAGUACCACUUUGGCAUGUCAAAAUAGUAUCCAUUUUCUACAGUGCUUUCCUAUGCCCAAAUAACCAUCCUCCACCAAAUGCCAGCUCAAUCCAUUCAUUAUUUUGAGCCGAGCUUCAAAAUUCGUAUUUAUGUCCAGUGUGGUACUUUGUAAAGCAAGUACCACCUAGGCUCCUCCUUUUGAGGUGAAAAUUUGUAAAGACGGUCUUCUUAGUAACUGAUCAUCCUCAGCCAAAACUCACGCCCAUUAGCCAUGUGCAUUUCACGUACCGCAAAUCAAACACUUGGCUGCUUAUUCAUGUUUGAGCAUCGAUCGGUCUCCUCGUGAGAAUCUUAUGUUGUGAUUUUCUUCCUAGCACCUACCUGGGGAGUGCCCAACCCACUAGACAUACCUAGGCCGCCCAGAACACAUGGCAACACCAUGGUCACGCGGUGACCACACGGCAGGCAUGCGAGUUUACGCGCUCUAGAGUUGGGGCCCUCGGCCACCGCCCAAACCUCGACGUAUCGCCACCAAACCAUGUAUAUAUGAUUAAAUAGGUACUUAUGUAACUAUAAAUGAUUUUUGGAAAAAAUAAAUAGAAAACUAUGAGGCAGCUGCAGUUCAAAUUUGACCCGCUUCCACCUGAAUCGGCGGAAAUUUGUCUUUUUCACGAGAGGUGGAUCAAAACUUUUUGCACCCAACCAUUUUGUCAAUUGUGCAUUAAAUAUGUCCUAGUAUUUUAGAAAAUUGAUUUGGUCCAAUUUUGCAACAAUUAUUUGGGAGGUCCUUCACAAAAAAACCUCCUUUUGGGCACUCGUAAAAUGAAAAAUGGUUUUUUCGUCCAAAGAAAAUGAAAACUUCCUUAGGCAACAUUGUUUGCCAUUCCAAUAUGCACCCUUGUGCACAAUAUGAGAUCAUUUGAACAAACUAUGCCACGAAUGUGGCCAUAAGAUUGAUCAUUUGGCUUGAAAGCCAUGAAUCUUUAGAGAUGAUAGCUCAUUCUGAGAACACUUUUUUAAAAUAGUUGCCAUAUUACAAGUUUGUUAUUUUUCCUGGGAACUUGGACACAUAUAAUGACACAAUGAGAAGGUUUCCCAAUUUUUUGUUUUUUUUGAAUUUUUUAUGCCUGUUUCAAAAUGCGGUCAAAACGGCAGGAAUGACCGUUCCUAGCUAGUGGUUGAAUCUUGGAACUUUUUGGUGUUUCUCUGAUUAAAUAGGUACUUAUGUAACUAGAAAUGAUUUUUGGAAAAAAUAAAUAGCAAACUAUGAGGCAGCUGCAGUUCAAAUUUGACCCGCUUCCACCUGAAUCGGCGGAAAUUUGUCUUUUUCAUGAGAGGUGGAUCAAAACUUUUUGCACCCAACCAUUUUGUCAAUUGUGCAUUAAAUAUGGCCUAAUAUUUUAUAAAAAUGAUUUGGUCCAAUUUUGCAACAAUUAUUUGGCAGGUCCUUCACAAAAAACCUCCUUUUGGGCACUCGGAAAAUGAAAAAUGGUUUUUUCGUCCAAAGAAAAUGAAAACUUCCUUAGGAAACAUUGUUUGCCAUUACAAUAUGCACCCUUGUGCACAAUAUGAGAUCAUUUGAACAAACUAUGCCAUGAAUUUGACCAUAGGAUUGAUCAUUUGGCUUGAAAGCCAUGAAUCUUCACGCAUGAUAGCUCAUUUCUGAGAACACUUUUUUAAAAGAAUUACCGUAUUGCAAGUUUAUUAUUUUUCCUGGAAACUUGGUCAUAUAUAAUGACACAAUGCGAAUGUUUUCCAAUUUUUUUGUUUUUUUUUUGAAUUUUUUAUGCCCGUUUCAAAAUGCGGUCAAAACGGCGGGAAUGGCCGUUCCUAGCUACUGGUCGAAUCUUGGAAAACUUUUGGUGUUUCUUUGAUUAAAUAUAUACUUAGGUACCUAGAAAUAAUUUUUAGAAAAAAUAUAGAGCAAACUAUGAGGCAGCUGCAGUUCAAAUUUUACCCGCUUCCUACUGAAUCGACGAAUGUUUGUCUUUUUCACCAGAGGUGGAUCAAAACUUUUGACAACCAACCAUUUGGUCAAUUGUGCAUUAAACAUGGCCUAGUAUUUUAUAAAAUUGAUUUGGUCCAAUUUUGCAACAAUUAUUUGGUAGGUUCUUCACAAAAAUACCUCAUUUUGGACACUUGAAAAAUGGAAAAUGGUUUCUUCGUCCAAACAAAAUGAAAACUUCCUUAGGCAACAUUGUUUGCCAUUCCAAUAUGCACCCUUGUGCACAAUAUGAGAUCAUUUGAACAAACUAUGCCAUGAAUGUGGACAUAAGAUUGAUCAUUUGGCUUGAAAGCCCUCAAUCUUCACGCGUGAUAGCUCAUUUAUGAGAACACUUUUUUAAACUAAUUGCCGUAUUACAAGUUUAUUAUUUUUCCUGGAAACUUGGUCAUAUAUAGUGACACAAUGCGAAGGUUUCCCAAUUUUUUGAUUUGUUUUUGAAUUUUUUAUGCCCAUUUCAAAAUGCGGUCAAAACGGCGGGCAUGACUGUUCCUAGCUAGUGGUUAAAUAUUGGAGUUUUUUUUGGUGUUUCUCUGAUUAAAUAGAUACUUUUUUACCUAUAAAUUAUUUUUGGAAAAAAUAAAGAGCAAACUAUGAGGUAGCUGCAGUUCAAAUUUAACCCGCUUCCAACUGAAUCGGUGGAAAUUUGUCUUUUUCAUGAGAGGUGGGUCAAAAAAUUUCACACUCAACCAUUUGGUCAAUUGUGCAUUAAAUAUGGCCUAGUAUCUUAGAAAAAUGAUUUUGUCCAAUUUUGCAACAAUUAUUUCGUAGGUUCUUCACAAAAAACCUCAUUUCGGGCACUCGAAAAAUGAUUAAAAAUAGCUAGAAAGAUCUGAAAUGCAUACAAAUUGGUGAUCACCCAUAAAAUCUGGUCAAACUUGAGUGAAAAAUUUAGUUGUGCCAUUUUGCAAAAUACUUUGGAAGUUGCUUCACAAAAUUCCCCUAGUUUUAGUACUUAGAAACUAUUUUAAAUCACGAAAUUUCUGAACCAAUCAUGGCUCUUCUCACGGAUCACUCCACUAUAGCCGAUCUGAACCGUCCGCAUCCGAAGGAUCCAACCGUCCGCAUCACAGAUCACCUCUCCCAACCCAACCCAAACCCUAGCAGCAACCCAAUCCCCCUCUUCCCCUGCCGCCACCUGUCUCUCCCCCUCUCCCCGAUCCAGAUCGACUCCCUCCGUCGCCUCCCCGAGUGCGUCGAGCCGCUGCUAUCGCUGCUACUUUGUCCCUCUGCAUCGCCCGCAUCCAGCCGCGCCAUGGAUCCCUGCGUCGCCGGAUCCAACCUCCACCAGUCUGCCGUCGUGCCAAUCAGGAUACCACCACCGUGCGGGCCCUGACCCCGCACCCCACGGCGGCCGGAGACGAUGGCGAGGAAGGGCCCGGUCCCCUAACGAAUCCUCCUCCCUCCAUCACCUGGGCUCGACGCCCAGGCCCAGCAUGCGCCACCGCCAUGGACUCCGCCGCGGGGACGGAUCUGGGGAAGAUCGUGGGCGUGUUCUACCAGGCCGAGGACGCGGAGCAAAGCGACACCUCCUCGCUCUGCUCGCCACCUCCCUCGCCGUGCUCGACGCCAUGCAAGGUCCGCCUCUCUCUCCUCUUCCUGGUCUCUCUCUGUUGCUUGGUUUGAUUUUGCUGAUGCGAUUUACUUCCUCCCCUCCCUAAUGCAUGCGCGCAGGUGCACCGCCUAGUAGGAGACCACGGCUCCGUCUGCUUCUUCUGUUGCUGUGUGGUCGACGACGACGACGCGGUCGUGCGGUCGGUGCCCUUUGAUGCCGCCCGACGCAAUGGCCCCCACCAAGAAGGCGGUAUGAACCCUAAUCGAUCCCCACCCGCCGCCCUCCCAUUUCGGCCUGAUUCGUUCUCUGGUGGUUAUCUCAUCGUGUCUUUCUUUCCGAGAAAUCUUCUCAUUGUUUUUCGAUUGAUGGAUGCGCUCUGCAGAAGAAGAGCGGGGAGAACAUCAACAACAAGAUGCAACUGGUGAUGAAGAGCGGCAAGUACACGCUCGGAUACAAGACCGUCCUCAAGACGCUGCACAACUCCAAGGGUAUGGAUCUUUUUGUCACUGUUGAUUGAUUUAUUGUUGUGGUUCAUCUGCUAGUUCCUUUGUCUGCUGGAUCCGAAGGGUAGUACUAUAACAUACGCUCGGGACCGUGUUAAUUCCUGAGAUUCGUGAUUAGCUUUUGUAGAAUGAGGUGGUUAAUAUCUGUUUUGUGGCUAUUAAUUGCUUGAUGUACUUAUUUGUGAGAUAAGCUGAACUGUGUACAUAUUUGCUUCACGUGUGUAGUGAUACCCGCUGAAGUUUGUGGCACUGAAACUUUUAGUUCGUAGAAUUGGGACUGAAGUUUACCUCAUUGACUUGCUUUUGCCGUGCCUUAGAGGCGAAUGCAUUGUCUGAGGCAAUUACAUCUUUGUUGGUAGUCUGGAGUUUAAAACUGGUAUAGCAAGAUGGAUUUUGCUUGCCAUUUAGGGCAUUUAUAGAUAGUUUGUCUCUAAUUUUGCUAUAUUCGCUGCAUUCAUAAGAUUAUUGUAGUGUUCACGUGUUUACAUGAACACUUUUUUAAAAUAAUUGCUAUAUUCGUUACAUGAAUGCAUUUGUUCGUGGUCGCGCUUGCCACUGCCCUCUCCUCAAGGGCAUGUAUCAUUUUUUAAACUCUGCUAUCUUUUCCCAAGUCUUUAUUAUCUUGCCUAGCCUUGUACUGAUAUGUAUUGUUUGCUGCUAAUUACCCAAGAGCCAUGGGUUUUGCUUCAGCAAUGGCAGACCAAAGUUAUUCCUUGUGGACAGCACAAAUUCUACAGAGCUUAGUAACCAUUUCACGAUGAUGCUCUGGUUUAUGGCACUUGCAGGGACAACACAAAUUCCAUUUGUUUUUUUGUUCUUUGUUUUGAUUGAUGUGCGUUCAUUACCAAUUCCUGAGGAUGAUUUGCGUUCCUCAUGGCAAUUAGUCUCGGACGCUACAAGCUAUUCUCUGUUGUGUGGUAUAUCCUGAUUGGUGGCAUUCUUAGUGCCAACAUAUCCUGGAAACGACACAUACAUUCAUAUGAAGUUCUCUGUUAUUUUUCUUUUCUGUGUGUUAAAUGAUCUAAAUGUGCGGACCAAAUGAUCUCAUAGUUUAAAUGCACCAUAGUUUUGCAGAACCUCGGUACAUUUACAUGCACACGCACACACAUUUGACUGCUGAGUGUUUGAAUUAUUGGAAUGUGGGGGCUGGUUUGUUUAUUCCCAUGCUCUUUGCUGGUUUUAUUUGUUCUUAAUUUUUAGCCCACCACAGCUUGUAAUUUUCUCAAACAAAGUGAUGACAAAAUUUACUGUGUAUAUCUUUUUAGGGAGUCCCUAUACAGGUUAUUAUUCAUGUCAAUUUUAUGAUAAAAUUUGAGAUAUACUUACAAUGAGUAUUUGUGUUUGGCAUCUGCCAUUCGCUGGCUCAGUGGUGCAAGAUGGCUUGAUGCUAAUAUCUUUGUGAUUAGUUAGUAGUUAAUGUACUUAUCUUCAUGUGUUAUCCUUAGUAUUGAGACAUGUGAACACACACACUGUCUCUGAACCACUUCUUCUCUGUUUACCAAAUUGCAAUAUGCAGGGCUUCCUAGUCUGAAUUUCUAGCGAUGACUAAUUCAUAGUUUCAGACUGAAUCUCCAUUUGCCUCUGAUGUGAGCAUGUGAUUGACAAAAAGUGUCUUUUCCUAAUUUUAGCAUUACUCUAAAAGUCUGAACCUGUUUGAAUCACAACUUUCCUUUGUCUUCAUUACUCAGGGACUUUGAAACUUCCCUUGUUAUUUAGCCCCAUAUACUGGAUGCUACUCGUUUAUUGUUCAAGCCCAAUUACCCAACCGAUGCUAUAGUAUAGGGCUCAUGUUGAUGCUAUAGUAUAGGCAUGUUAGCUGUCUGUAUGUAAUCUAACUUGCAUAGUGUGUGUGUGUGUGUGUGUGGCAUGCAGGGAGGUGGUGAUCAGGUGAACAACAUAUCCCUGGAAGACCUCAUGUGUGUAGUGGGAGCCGGAGAAGGAGGGCUGCUUGCAAACCGCGACAUCUUCAUGUACAGGUUAGGUCCCGGUGUCCUCCUUCUUCCUCCGUUGAUUAGCUUAUGUCCGUGAUAUUGUUUGGGUCUAUGGCACACUUCCUGCAUUUAGGUCUCCCUGGCAAAGGCAAUCUGUAGCACACUUCUGGCUCACGUAGUAUCAUGCUUGGAUCUGUGCACAAAUUCACAAGUUUGGAUGCAUCAUAGAACUUGUGGUGAUGUUGUUUAGAUUGCAGCAAGCAAGAAUUAUGCUGUCAUUCUCUUGCACUCUGCUAUGCAGCUCUUGUUUACCUUAAAUGCAACUAUUGGUGCACUUGUUAAAUGCCAUUAUUUGUGUUGUUUGCUUCCUUUGCAUGCAUGGUUAUACAGUUUGGUGCCCCCAUGGCCUGAAAUACAUUGAAUUGUGGGCCUCUUCUUGAUAUCUUGUUGCUUAGGGUUUUGUUUCGGGGUUUCUUAAUGUACUCGUGCUUAAUAGACUGCACCACAGAGGUCACCCUCAUAUGGAUAAUGAAUCAUUAUCCUUUUUCUUGUGUACUUGAGAUGUUCCUAACGAAUAAUUUACUAGACAAACAAUCUUGUUUGCAGUAAGAAUUCUAGCAUGCCAAAAUCUAUUGUCUAUGUAUGCUUCGGUUAAUAUGGACCUGAAUGUCAAGGGCUAGCCAACCUGCUUAGCUAGAUUAACAUAACAGAAAUAGUACACAACAAGCCAGCUCGUGUUUGCAUUGCUGCCACAUCGGCUAGCUAGAUGUGAUUGCCUAAGGGCUAGUCAACACAUUUUACAGCAUUCUGUGUUGUAGCCAAACACUUGCUCUGUAUUCUGAAUACUCUAAAAAACUCUGUUAAAUUAAAACCAUGGUAUUGCGUACCUGCCAACUAAAUUACCGCAAUUUUUAAUACUUUGUUUAAUUUGAUACUUUGCUAUUAGAUUUACUUUUAUUUUGUUCCUAAACAUUCUGUUCUACAAUGUGCACAUGAUGGCCUUUCAUUCAGGACAAAAAAGUGGGAUGAGGCAUAGUUUUACCUCAUUGAGCUAGUUCUGAUAGUAACAAAGUCCUUCUAACAGAACUUGUAUGUGUGCUAGUUCUGGGAGCUACUUCAUUGGAAUAAUGCUGAUCCUCUAGUAGAACUUGUAGGGCUCCUGUGAUAGACUCAUGUGAUAGACUUGGGCUGAUACACUUGGGAUGUAUGUGUGUUAUCUGAUUGUAAACUUGAUGCUGAUCACAUUUGUAUGUGUGUUAUAUGAUGUAGCAGUUUGAUGGUUGAUAAUAUUUAAAGUAUUUCGUGUGUUUUCUGUGUGCCAAUUUAAAUACCAGGUAUUUAUUUGCGUGAAAUAAAAAAAUGAAGAAUAUUGCCCUGAUGGCUAGGACCCAGUAGUAGAACUAGACAAUGGGGGACCCACCUGACUAGUGAACCCAAUUUAGAAAAAAAGAAAAAAAAUGAAACUGUUGAGACAAAAAGGCCAUGGGCCAAAAAUAAAAAGGCUGCAAUGUUGGGCUUGGUCCAUGAAGCUGACAAAAAAUUCACAUGAAAAAAAAUAUAGAAAGGCCGAAUUCUUGGGCUAGGCCCAUGUAGAAAACCGAAUUGGACCGGGCUGAAUCUUGUGCCACAUCAGCUUGCCACGCUGGAUGCCUACGUGGCCUGGGGAGGUUGCUAGUGACCAAAACGCCACAGUGGACAUAUUUUGGUCAUAAACGUCUUCGACCAUUCCAGAAGAAAGGUCGCUAUAGUCAGUUUACGACCAUCAGCUUUUGACCUUCUGUUUUUGGUCACAAAAAGGUCGCAAAUGAAAAACCAUGACCUUUCAGUGACCAAUAGUGGUGUUCACAAGUUGACAUAUUUCUUGUAGUGUUUUACCACUUGUUACCUUGUUGUUUUUAUCAUUUCAGAUUACAAAUACCUUUAUCUACCAUCUAUAUUGCACCUGUAUCACCAUCUCUUCGCCGAACUAGUGCACCUGUACAAUUUACCAUUAUAUUGGGUGUGUCGGGGACACAAGGGACUCUUUGUUAUUUGGUUGCAGAGUUGUUUGAGAGAGACCAUCUUCAUCCUACGCCUCCUACAGAUUGAUAAACCUUAGGUCAUCCACUUAAGGGAAAUUUGCUACUGUCCUACAAAUCUGUGCACUUGCAGGCCCAACAACGUCUACAAGAAGAAGGUUGUGUAGUAGACAUCAAGCUCUUUUCUGGCGCCAUUGCCGGGGAGGUUAGCGCUGGAAGGUAUAUCUUUAGAUCUUGCAAUCGAAUCUUUUUGUUUCUUGUUUAUCACUAGUUUAGUUUAUAAAGAAAACUACAAAAAAUGGAAUUGAGUUUGUCUCAUACGCUUCACCUUUUUAAUAUCUUUCGUGAGUAUGAUGGAAAGGAUAAUUGUGCUCAAGUGCUAGAAGAAGAAAUCUCUAAAUUGUUUGGCACUAAAUAUUUGAAUGAUUAGCAUGAUUGCAAUGUUGUUAGUACGAAUUCUUUGAAUAUCCAUGAUGCUAAUGAUGAUUGCACUAGUUAUGAUGAAAAUGUCUCCUAUAAACAUGUCAAUUUUUUGGAGUGCAUUGGAUUUGUAAGUACACACCAAAUAGGGAAGAUAGAUAUUGCAAGAGGCAUAAGUACUUAGAAACCAAAUUGUUGCAAGAAGAGCUAGAUGAAUGUGCUGAAAGAUUGAAUAUUUAUAGUACCCCUUGUGAACUUUGCAAUGAACAUGGUCAUUUAAAGCUCCAAUGCUAUUUGUUUCAUGAUCAAGUCGUUUCCAAAUAUUGUGAUAAUUUGAUUACCUUUGAGCAUCAUAAAGAGCUUAACCUUCUUUUGGGUUAUGAAGAAAUGAAACGUAUAACCAACUAUCUCCCAGAUCUUGCCCGUUAUAAACUUCUUGGUUUUGAUAUAGAGGAAAUUUAUAUGUAUUGUGUGGAGAAUUGCAUUGAAAAUCCUUAUAUUGCCAAUUACCUAAAGAAAAGAAAGCAAAUGGAAGAUGAUGAGUAUACUAAUGAAAGGAAGAGGCUUCCCAAUCUCCUCCUGUUAUUUCUUAUGAUGAAUCGGGUAACGAGGAGGAGCUUUCUAUUCAGCCAAUCUCAUCAAUAAGGAGCUCAAAGAGGAAGGUUGAACCUACACAUAAUGUGAAGAAGAAAAAGAAAAGAAGGAGCAACAAAGGUAAAAAGGUAUCCCUCCCAAAUGAUGUUGCUCCUACUACUACUUGUGAUGAUGAUAAUUGCUAUACUAUUGGUGCUAUCCAUAUUUUCAAUGAUGAGAGUGAUUAUGCUUGUGAUAUGAAAGGGCCCAAGCUUGGGGAAGCUAUGUUUGAUGAGUAUGAAAUAUUUGAGAAUAUAUUUGCUGAAAUUAAUGUUUGUCCCAAGCUUGGGGAUGCUAUGUUUAAUGAAGAUGAUAUUUUUAGCAUCCCAAGUUUUGAUAUGCAAAGUUGUUAUGAUGAUAGCAUGCCUCCUACCUAUGGUGAUUAUAUUGAUGAAAGUGGGUUCGGAAGAGUGUCAACUUUAGGAAGUAGUGAUCCCACUAUUUUGGAGAAUGUUGAAUCUAUUUGUGAUGAAUAUGAAAGUGGAUUUGGAAGACUGUCAACUUUAUUUAGAGAUUCCACUAUCUUGGGAGAGGUUUCGAUCGAUUAUGAUGAGAACGAAGUUGCUACUUAUGAUGAUUAUUGUGAUGAAACUUAUGGUAUAAAAAUUAGCGAUGAUUAUAUUUACAAACCUUGUCAUGAUUAUGAUUACCCUUUUUCUGAACAUUACUCUUUUAAUGUGGAAACAAUUUUUAGUGUUCAAGUCUCUUAUGAUACUCCCAUUUUUCCGAAUGAGAAGAAUUUUGCUAAUGUGGAGAGUAGUAAAUUUUCUAUGCUUGUAGAUCAUGAAAAGAAUGUUUUAGGUGCUGGUUACAUUAUUGAAUUCAUUCAUGAUGCUACUGAAAACUAUUAUAAGAGAGGAACAUAUGCUUGUAGGAGUUGCAAUAAUAUCAAGUUUCCUCUCUAUGUGUUAAAUUUUUUGAAGCUAUGCUUGUUUUGCCAUCCUAUGCUAGUUGAUUAUUGUUCACAUAAGUUGUUUGCUCACAAAAUCCCUAUGCAUAGGAAGUGGGUUAGACUUAAAUGUGCUAGUCAUAUGCUUCAUGAUGCCCCCGUUAUGUUUCAAUUCUUAUCUUUUAUGUGAGCAUCAUGGUCAUCAUCAUGCCUAGCUAAAAAGGCAUUAAAGAAAAGCUCUUGUUGGGAGACAACCCAAUAUUUACCCUUACUGUUUUUGUGUAUCCACAUGAUUAUGCUACUGUAGUAAUCUUGUUUUAUUGCUUUUGUUUCAAUAAAGUGCCACGUAGAACCUUUUGAAAGACUUGGGUGAAGUUUAUGUGAUCUUGCUGUCAAAAACAGAAACUUUAGCGCUCACGAGAUUAGCUUCCAUUUUUACUGGAGAGUUCUUUUAGGUUGAUUCUUUUUGAAGAUGAUUAAUAGAAAAUUACUAGGGUCCAAAAAUUUAUUUCAUAAUUUUUUGGGUUCCAGAAGUAUACGUUUGAUACAGAUUACUACAGACUGUUUUGUUUUUGACAUAUUCUGUUUUCAUUGUGUUGUUUGCUUAUUUUGAUGCAUCUAUGGCCAGUAUUAAGUGGUAUGAACCAUAAAGAAGUUGGAAUACAGUAGGUAUUACACCAAUAUUAAUUUAGAAUGAGUUCAUUACAGUACCUAAGUGGCGGUUUUAUUUUCUUAUACUAACGGAGUUUACGAGUUUUGUUUUGAGUUUUGUGUGGUUGAAGUUUUCAAGUUUUGGGUAAAGAUUCGAUGGACUAUAGAAUAAGUAGUGGCAAGAGACUAAGCUUGGGAAUGCCCAAGGCACCCCAAGGUAAUAUUCAAGGACAACCAAGAGCCUAAGCUUGGGGAUGCCCCGGAAGGCAUCCCCUCUUUCGUCUUCGUUCAUCGGUAACUUUACUUGCAGCUAUAUUUUUAUUCGCCACAUGAUAUGUGUUUUGCUUGGAGCGUCAUUUUCUUUUGCUAAGUUUUUGCUUGCUGUUAGUUAGAGUAAUGUUUUGCAUCUUUAGUUUCAAUAAAAAUGUCAAGGAUAGCCUUUGCCAUGCUUAUUUUGCUAGUAUACAUGUUGCUGUUUGAAAAUAGAAAGUUUACCGCUGUUGCAAAAAUUCCCUAGAAAAGUCAGAGAAUGGUAAAAUGUUGAAUCUUUUUGAAUAUUAAGCUCUGAUAAAUUUAUUACAGUGGGAAUUUUAGUUCAUAAUUUUUGGAGUCAGAGAAGUAUUGAUACUCUUGCAUUCUUUACAGACUGUACUGUUUUGGCAGAUUGCUGUUAUGGUUGCAUUGUUUGCAUAUGUUUGCUUGUUUAAUGAUUCUAUUUGAGGAUAGAAGUAUUAAAUAUACAGAGGCAUUUAGUACUCAAUGUUGAAUAAUAAUUUUAGUGAUUUGUUACAGUAGAAUAUGAUAAGGUUUUGCAUUGGCUUAUACUAACCUAUCUCACGAGUUCUUGUUGAGUUUGUUGUGAAUGAAGCUUUUGAUAAAAAGAGAAACCAUGAUAUGAGAGGAAUUAAGGAGACACAAAAGUUCAAGCUUGGGGAUGCCCAAGGCACCCCAAAAUAAUAUUUCAAGAAGUCUCAAGCAUCUAAGCUUGGGGAUGCCCCGGUAGGCAUCCCACCUUUCUUCUUUGGCAAUCAUCGGUUAGUACCGGUUGAACCUAAGUUUUUGCUUCUUCACAUGAGUUGUGCUAUCCUUACAAUGUAGUUUUGUUUAGCUUUUCUUGCUGUUUGACUAAAGUAUCAAGAUCUGAAAUUAUUAAAUGAGAGAGUCUUUGCAUAGUUGCAUAAUUAUUUAGCUACUCAUUGAUCUUCACUUAUAUCUUUCAGAGUAGUUUGUCGUUUUCUCUAGUGCUUCACUAAGAUCUUUUAGAGCACAGUGGUGGAUUUGUUUUAAAGAAACUAUUGAUCUCUCAUGCUUCACUUAGAUCAUUUUGAGAGUCAUUAAUAGCAUGGUAAUUUGCUUAAUGUUAAUAUACUUGGUAUUCAAGAUAUGUGAAACUUUCUUUUGAGUGCGUUGAAUACUAAGAUAAGUUUGAUACUUGAUAAUUGUUUUGAGAUAUGGAGGUAGUGAUAUUAAAGUCAUGCUAGUUGGGUGAUUAUGAAUUUAAAGAAUGCUUGUGUUGAAGUUUGCAAGUCCCGUAGCAUGCACGUAUGGUUAAAAUUGUGUAACAAAUUUGAAACAUGAAGUGUACCUGGCUUGUGCAUCCUUAUGAGUGGCGGUCGGGGACGAGCGAUGGUCUUUUCCUACCAAUCUAUCCCACUAGGAGCAUGCGCAUAGUACUUGAUUUUUUAUGACUUCUAAAUUUUUGCAAUAAGUAUACGAGUUCUUUUGACUAAUGUUGAGUCCAUGGAUUAUACACACUCUCACCUUUCCGCCUUUGCUAGCCUCUUCGGUACCGUGCAUUGCCCUUUCUCACCUUGAGAGUUGGUUUAAACUUUGCCGGUGCAUCCAAACACUACUAGGGAAAACCCUAGCAGUAGCGCUAGUUUUGUGCUCACUAGUAGCGCGGGUAGGCGCGCUACUAAUAAGGCGCUACAACUAUUGCUUAGCAGUAACGCGUGCUGGCGCGCGCUAUUGCUAGGACAAAUAGCUGCAGCGUUUGUUCACCCCCACGCUACUGCUAAUGAAACUAGUGGCAGCGCGUUUUCCCUCCAUCGUUACUAGUAUUCAUUUUUUAUUUUUUUUAUUUUUAGUGUAUUUAUGCGGUUUUCUCUCCAUCGUACAAAUAUUGGUACAAUACCAGUUAUGAGGUUUACAUCAUUAUGUCCAUAACAGUGUGUCAAAUGAAGGUGGAUUAGGUUCAAGUGGAGGCAAUAUGUGGUGCAUGUCAAAAGUAUACUACUAAUCCAAACUUGAUCUAGUUUGGACUAGUAGUACUUUCGAUGUGCACCACAUGUUGCCUCUACUUGAAUCUAAUCCGCCAGCACAAGCUAUUUAAUCAUCAUCAUAGUCAUUAUCACCAACAAUAUUUAUUUAAUCACCACUAACACUAGCUAAUAAUAAUCAUCAUAGUCCUUACCACCAACACUAGCUAUUUUAUCAUCAUAGUAAUAGUGUAGCACAUCAUCAUCUUCAAACUCAUUUCUAGCUAGUUAAUCACUCCUGCUGCUCUCUCGCAGGUAAAAUAACAUAAAACAUGUAUAGCUCUCCUCCUUGAUCAAGUUGGAGCAUGUAGAUGAACUUGUCUCCUAAUCGUGGGUAGCGCAUCUGUUUGCUGCCCCCUAGUACUUCUCUGCGCUCCCCCAUCACAUAUUUGGUCCAGUCUUGCACUAUUAAGCAUCCGUCGCUAAUCUUGAAUGCACUAAAGUAAUCUGUAGGAUAUAUUGGACGUAAGCUAAUAGUACUCAUGGUACCUUUAGUCUUGAUCCCAUAAGGUACAACAUUCAUCGGGACUCCCUGUUGAAGAACAUCGUAUGGUAACAUACUUAGCAAUGAAGUUUAGCUUCAAAAAUAAUGUAUGGAAAAGAUGCACUAAGGACAAAUAUUAAAAAUCUUACCAUCCUUCCUAAAUAGAUGUGACCGUAGUUCAUUACGAACACUAUUGGUCGCACGUUUUCAGUACUAGCAUUUCUAAAUCCAGGAAGAAAAUUUGUCUUGAUAGUAUCAAGAUCCGCAAGCCAUGAAACAUAAUGACUAAGCUCCUCGCAGUUGAGUUCAGCCCCGGCACAGUAUACGGUCCUGUCUACCAAGCGCUGGACAUGUUUGCUUGUACCGAAAUAAGCUAUCAAUAGAAAUUAAUUGUCAACUAUUUUUGAAUAAACAAUAUCAAAGACAUAAAUAUGGUUGAGAAACUCACAUUUUGGUAUAACUGGAGGCGUCUGCACAUCGACCCAGAUGUCGGUAUUACCUUCAAUAUCAUCUUCCGGACGAAUAUCAAAGGUGAUAACCAUAUCAGGCUCAAAUGCAUAAGUCUUGCAUAGUGCUCCCCAUGUUUUGCAUCCAAAAUAGGUGUAGUCGUCUGAAUUGUAUAAUUUUGCAUGGAAAAUAUAACCAUGCUCGAUCUUCAAGUAAAAUUUCUUUACCUCCAUAGUACGACUGCAACCUAUCUUAUCCAAUACAAAAACUCUUGCAUGGCAGGGGAUACGCUAGUAGAAGAAUAAAACAAAUUAUAAGUUGAAGCAAAUGAAGCAUAUGUCAUGCUUAAUUACGAAAAAAGACUUGUCAUCGUGACUUACUGUAUCCACUUCGAAGUUCUCGUCCAGCUUGAUGCUGAAGCGCCUAUCAUCAUCUAGGAAGAUUCUGUCACACAGGCCGCGCUUGUCUUUGCAGUAUUUGCAAAUACCGAAAUCCUUUUUGUCAUCAGACAUUUCCUAUGUUCAUAGUUAAAACAUUAAUUGAAAAUCGAUCAAAGACAACUACCAGGAUACUCAACACACAAAUCCGGGGCACUCGAUAUUUUCUACAUAUUCUGGCAUAAGUCAUGCCAAAAUUCACGGAAAAAUCCGGCAUGACCUUUGCUAAAAUAGGACAUAUCGAGCGCCUGAAAUUUGCCGGAACGGAAAUGAAUCAACACUCCAGCAAAACAUAGGCCACUCGGAGGUGUAACCUGCAAACAUGACCGGCCACUUGGGCAAGCACAUAUCCUAUUUGAGCAACACAAGAUAUACAUUUCAAAAUAUCUUAUAGGACUCAAAUUAGCCUGCAUUGAAUAAGCAAAUGUAAAUCAUCUCAUGCGCGUUCGUACAUCGUCGAAUAUUAUCACUAAUACAUCCCGAAUAGUGUCAUACAUAUAACAUCACUAAUACAACUAAAACCCUAGCACACGACGGGUAUCGGCGCGGGCGGUUGACACCCACAGAGAAGGAACCAUCACGGGAUCAUAGCUCCAGUGAGAUCCCUGGAGAACCUGCCAGGUAUUGGAGAACCUGUGCUCCAAUGCAAACAAGUAGCGACGGACCGCGUCCUCCUCACUGACACGGUGACGCACCACCUCCGCGGGGUCGUCGAGCCUCUGGACCGUCACUGGCCCACGCGACCGCCACCAAAAAAGGUUCGGGUCAACGACAGGCUGGCUCCUCACCAACUUGCGCCCCCCGGUAGGUAGCGCCUCCCAGUACCACCUCGGCGGAGCCCAGUCCCGGACAUGGCCCAUCUGGUCAAGCAGGUGUCGUCCUCCGCCGACUCGACGACGAGGAUGCGGGAAAAAUUGCUUUAACUAAAAAAAUAGCAACAAGUUCUUACUAACUAGUUCUAUUAAUUCAAUUAGUUCUUACUAAAAAUAAACUUACUAUAAAUAAAAAUAAACUAGUACCUAGCUAAUUAGUACCUAGUUCUUACUAACUAAUUAGUAACUAGGAACUACUGCCCUAAUUACCAUAUAGGUGUCCAUUUUUUAACUAGGGUUCGUACUACCUAAUUAAAUAGGGUUAAUACUAAUUGUAAUUAACUAACUAGCACUAAAACUAGCCUAGGGUUCAUACUAUAGCACUAAAUAGCUAGGGUUCAUACUAAGCAAACAAGAGGGAUCGAAAGGGGAGAGUACUUACAGAGGGCGACCGGGGAGAGAGAUGGGGUCGGGGGAGACGGCGGCACCGAGGCACGGCGAGGCAGGGUCGGGGGAGACGGCGGCGAGGCGGGGUCGGGGGAGACAGCAGCGAGGCGGGGUCGGGGGAGACGNNNNNNNNNNNNNNNNNNNNNNNNNNNNNNNNNNNNNNNNNNNNNNNNNNNNNNNNNNNNNNNNNNNNNNNNNNNNNNNNNNNNNNNNNNNNNNNNNNNNNNNNNNNNNNNNNNNNNNNNNNNNNNNNNNNNNNNNNNNNNNNNNNNNNNNNNNNNNNNNNNNNNNNNNNNNNNNNNNNNNNNNNNNNNNNNNNNNNNNNNNNNNNNNNNNNNNNNNNNNNNNNNNNNNNNNNNNNNNNNNNNNNNNNNNNNNNNNNNNNNNNNNNNNNNNNNNNNNNNNNNNNNNNNNNNNNNNNNNNNNNNNNNNNNNNNNNNNNNNNNNNNNNNNNNNNNNNNNNNNNNNNNNNNCGGCGACGAGGCGGGGUCAGGGGAGACGCAGCAAGGCAGGGUCGGGGGAGAUGGCCGCGAGGCGGAGUCGGGGGAGACGGCGGCGAGACGGUGGCGAGGCGGAGGCGACGAGAGGGAGAAGAGAGAGUGGGGAAUUGGGGGAGGAAGCAGAGGAGAGGGAAUCAGGCCGCGCCGGGGGUUAGGUGAGAAUAGCUUUAAUAGUAGCGUGGGGAGGAAAAACGCGUUGCUACUAAAAUCCGUAGUAGUAGCGCCAUUUCUAGAAGGGCGCUACUACUAUACCUAGCACGUCGGGACCGGUGUGGCAAUUGUAGUAGUAGCGCGUUCUGUUCCUGUCGUGCUACUGCUAAGGGGGUAACAGUAGCGCGGUUUAGCCAGACGCGCUGCUGCUAAGUAGCAGCAGCGCCUCAUUUUAACAAGCGCUACUGGUAAGAUUCUGUGUAUAAGGUUUUCCAUAGUAGUGAAACCCCGUGAUACGAUACGCUCUAUCACACAUAAACCUCCUUAUAUCUUCCUCAAAACAGCCACCAUACCUACCUAUCAUGGGAUUUCCAUAGCCAUUCCGAGAUAUAUUGCCAUGCAACUUCCAUCAUCAUAUUCAUGACAUACAUUACUUUUGUCAUAUUGCCAUUGCAUGAUCAUGUAGUUGACAUCGUAUUAGUGGCAAAGCCACCAUGCAUUAUUUUUCAUACAUGUCACUCUUGAUUCAUUGCACCAUCCCGGUACACCGCCGGAGGCAUUCAUAUAGAGUCAUAUCUUGUUCUAAGUUUCGAGUUGUAAUCCUUAUGUUGUAAUCAAUAGAAGUGUCAUGAUCAUCAUUAUUAGAGCAUUGCCAAAAAAAGAGAAAGGCAAAAAAGGCCCAAAAAAAGAAAAUAAAUAAAAAGGGCAAUGCUACUAUCUCUUUUUCCACACUUGUGCUUCAAAGUAGCACCUUGUUCUUCAUAUAGUGAGUCUCAUAAGUUGUGCUUCAAAGUAGCACCUUGUUCUUCAUGUAGUGAGUCUCAUAAAGUUGUCCUUUUCAUACUAGUAGGAAUUUUUCAUUAUAGAACUUGGCUUGUAUAUUCCUACGAUGGGCUUCCUCAAAUGCCCUAGGUCUUCAUGAGCAAGCGAGUUGGAUGCACACCCACUAGUUUUCUUUUGUUGAGCAUUCAUAGCUCUAGUGCAUCCGUUGCAUGGCAAUCCCUACUCCUCAUGUUGACAUCAAUUGAUGGGCAUCUCCAUAGCCCGUUGAUUAUCCUCGUCAAUGUGAGACUUUCUCCUUUUUUGUCUUCUCCACACAAUCCCCAUUAUCAUAUUCUAUUCCACCCAUAGUGCUAUAUCCAUGGCUCACGCUCAUGUAUUGCGUGAAGGUUGAAAAAGUUUGAAAUUAUUUAAGUAUGAAACAAUUGCUUGGCUUGUCAUCGGGGGUAUAGAAGUUGGGAACAUCUUUCUGUGACGAAAAUGAAGUAUAGCCUAACUAUAUGAUUUUGUAGGGAUGAACUUUCUUUAGCCAUGCUAUUUUGAGAAGACAUGAUUGCUUUGAUUAGUAUUCUUGAAGUAUUAUUAUUUUUAUGUCAAUAUGAACUUUUGUCUUGAAUCUUUCGGAUCUGGAUAUUCAUACCACAAUUAAGAAGAUUUAUAUUGAAAUUAUGCCAAAGUAUCACUCCGCAUCAAAUUUUUUUUUAUCAUUUACCUACUCGAGGACGAGCAAGAAUUAAGCUUGGGGAUGCUUGAUACGUCUCCGACGUAUCUGUAAUUUUUGAUUGCUCCAUGCUACUUUAUCUACUAUUUUAGGCAAUAUUGGGCUUUAUUAUCCACUUUUAUAUUAUUUUUGGGACUAACCUAUUAACCGGAGGCCCAGCCCAGAUUUGCUGUUUUAUGCCUAUUUCAGUGUUUCGUGAAAAAGGAAUAUCAGACGGAGUCAAAACGGAACGAAAUCAACUGGAGAAGUUAUUUUUGGAAGGAAAGCCACCCGAUGGACUUGGAGUGCACGUCAGGAGAUACAGGAGGUGCUCGGGCCCACCCCCUAGGGCGCGCCCCCCUGCCUCGUGGGCCCCCCGUAGCUCCACCGACGUACCCGAUGCACCCAUAUAUACCUACGUAUUGUAAAACUUCCAGAACAGAAGAUAGAUCGGGAGUUCCGCCGCCGAAAGCCUCCAGAGCCACGGAAAACCAAUCGGGACCCUGUUCCGGCACUCUACCGGAGGGGGAACCCAUCACCGGUGGCCAUCUUCAUCAUCCCGGCACUAUCCAUGACGAGGAGGGAGUAGUUCACCCUCGGGGCUGAGGGUAUGUACCAGUAGCUAUGUGUUUGAUCUCUCUCUCUCGUGUUCCCUCUAUGGCACGAUCUUGAUGUAUCCUGAGCUUUGCUAUUGUAGUUGGAUCUUAUGAUGUUUCUCUCCCUCUACUCUCUUGUGAUGAAUUGAGUUUCCCCUUUGAAGUUAUCUUAUCGGAUUGAGUCUUUUAUGAGAACACUUGAUAUAUGUCUUGCAAUCCACUUGAUGUAUGUUUUGGUGAUCAACUUGCGGGUUUCGUGACAUUGGGAACCUAUGCGUAGGGGUUGGCACACGUUCUUGACUCUCCGAUAGUAGCUUUGGGGCACUCUUUGAAGUACUUUUAUGUCGGUUGGAUGAAUCUGAGAUUGUGUGACGCAUAUCGUAUAAUCAUGCCCACAGAUACUUGAGGUGACAAUGGAGUAUCUAGGUGACAUUAGGGUUUUGGUUGAUUUAUGUCUUACGGUGUUAUUCUAAUACGAACUCUUUUAUAGAUCGAUCUGAAAGAAUAACUUUGAGGUGGUUUCGUACCCUACCAUAAUCUUUACGUUUGUUCUCCGCUAUUAGUGGCUUUGGAGUGACUCUUUGUUGCAUGUUGAGGGCUUGUUAUAUGAUCUAUCUAUGUUAUUAUUGUUGAGAGAACUUGCACUAGUGAAAGUAUGAACCCUAGGCCUUGUUUCCUAUCAUUGCAAUACCGUUUACGCUCACUUUUACCACUUGUUACCUUGCUGUUUUUAUUAUUUCAGAUUACAAAUACCUUUAUCUACCAUCUAUAUUGCACUUGUAUCACCAUCUCCUCGCCGAACUAGUGCACCUAUACAAUUUACCAUUAUAUUGGGUGUGUUGGGGACACAAGAGACUCUUUGUUAUUUGGUUGCAGGGUUGUUUGAGAGAGACCAUCUUCAUCCUACGCCUCCUAUGGAUUGAUAAACCUUAGGUCAUCCACUUGAGGGAAAUUUUCUACUGUCCUACAAACUUGUGCACUUGCAGGCCCAACAACGUCUACAAGAAGAAGGUUGUGUAGUAGACAUCAGUGCUCAUAGGGGUAGGGUGUGCGUGUGUGCGUUCAUAGGGGUGAGUGUAUGCGCGUGUAUAUGAGCGUUUGCGUAUGUAAUGUGUUUAAAAAAAAGAACUAUGCGGCAUAGAAUGGGCCAUGCUGCACUCGACUACCCACUAGAUUUUUUUAAGAUAGUUCCUUCGUCCUCUUCUGUUUUCUUUUCUGGAUCUUAGUAUCAGCACCAGGUAUUUGUUUUCCAUUGCUUGCUGCUAUGAUAAAUGAUCAAUAUGAAAUGUCGGCAACAUGCUGGAUCUUUUAAAAAAUAACUUCUAAAAAAUUUCUACAAUUUUCAGAAUUUAAUCCAUUGCUUGAGAAAGAAUAAAACACAAGUCAGGCACCGAUAUGUAAUGAUAAUAUGUUAAAUUCACAGCCUGUCAUGCAACCCACAAUUUGCAAUCGAAUUGUCUCUUCUUUUCAUUUAUCGGGUUGUUGAUCAAACUUAACAUUUUUACAUGGCAAAUAUAUGUUGUGCUUAUAAUGAUAGUUCCCUGUUUUCUAUCCAUGGCUAAGAAAUAAUGGUUCCUAAUUCAAAAACCAUCAUGGUCAAAACUUUAGGCUUUGUGGAACGAAGACGACGACUCUGAAGGUCUUUCUUUCCUCUCUCACAAGGCGUCUAUGGCAAAGCCUUCGUCCCCCCUGAUCUCCAUCGACAAGAUCGUGGAGUCGCCUCCCCUUUGUCAGCCGCUUCAACGGUGUGUAGAAGGGAGAUCAAUCUUGGUGUCUCGGCUCUGACUUGUAGAUAGGUUAGGAUUUUAGUUCUUGUAGGGGCGGCAAUUGGACGGAUGACGACUCUUCUUCUUCUUCGAGUCAGUAUUCCGGGCUCCGAUCCUCAUCAAGUUCGUCCAUCAGAGCGGAUUAGAAGAUUCUUGUCAGUUCCUUGUGGUGACGAGGUUAGGGUUUCUUGUGGUGCAUAGGGACAAUGAGAUUUGGUGUUAGGUUCACAUUGGUUCAAGGUUCAACGACGAUGACCGCGACUCUGGGGCGCUAGUCCUUAGCGGCACACGCAUGAAGACUUUCUACCUAUCAUCGCCAGCUCCGGUAUGUGAGCAGCCACAUGUUCUAGCCAUUGCAGUGGUCGUUAGGUGGCUCACGGGCCUCGAUAUAAAUUUUAUUAUGUUUAGGUGUUUUAUACUUUAGAAGAAAUUGCAUUAGUAAUAAAUUCAUAUUAUUCUUUUGAAAAGGAGAAUCGCCCUUGGCAUCUGAGUAAUAAAUUCAUAUGAAUUUAUAAAAAAAUUAGAACUUUCCUGGGUAAAGUUUAUUGAGGGAGUUUUUGUAAUAGAUAUGAAUGCCUUUUGGAAAAAAAGAACUUCAUACAGGUGGUAAUGGGAGAAUAAAAUCUUUGAUUCAACUACUGUUAAUUUUUACAUUGACUGAGCAAAAUUCAUUUUCUUCUUGUAUUCAUAUUCACACACAUGAGUAUGUUUGACAAUAAUUUAGUAAGGCCCAUGAGUUAUCUUUAGUAAAACGGAAAAGCUAAUCCGGACGGGAGGAUUUUAGCGACAGAUCCGCACACAUCACACGUCGUUGGAUCCUAUUUCUACGGUUGAGUUUACGUCCCGAUCUAACUGCCCUUUCUUCGUUGAUCGUGCACCUUCCCGUUAGGCUGGUCACAGUGGGGAGUAACUUAGACUAGUAACAUGCAUAUGUUACUAGUCUAUAUUACUACUUUUAUAGUGCAUAGUAUCAUAGAUUAGUAUCAUAAGUGGUCUCAUUUACUGUCAUGCAUGACAUAUAGUAGCAUCACGUUUAUUAUGUUACGGUAUCUAUCUAUGUUACUAUAACCAUCUCUUUCUUCUUUAAUGGCCUGCCACAUAAUCAUGUUUGUGGGCCUCAAAUGCAUGAUACUACUUAUGUUACCCCCACUAUGACCAGCCUUAAUUCUGUAAUUUAAAGACCCACCUCCCCACUAAUUCCGGGAUCUCCCGCACGUCCACUUAUGCCAAUUUUUUGAGAAAAAUUAAUUCAUGAGAAGGGUGACUCGAACCUGUUACGCAUCAGGCUAGGUAGCAGUUCCCAAACCAUCGCACCAACUGAAGUUGUUUGACUCGUUCUUAUGCAUAUCUUUACUUGACUUAACUAGCGCUACAAAAUAGAAUGGUAAUUUUUUGAUCAGCCUAGAUUUGCUGCUAUUUUUGCUGGCUCUUGCCAUUUACCCGAGCUCCAGAAGCGCUAAUGCUAGGUGAUUUUUUGAUCUGCAAUUUCUCCACUGAUUUUGUAUCUUCUUUUUUUAUCUUACACGCAAACACCGCAAAAAAAUUAACCCAGAAAAAAAAAGUUGUUGAAUAAUAUACUCCCGACAAUUUCUGUAUAAAUAGCAUAAUAAAAUACACAUCGUUUACUUGAUAACUUAAGUACAAACUAGACAGUAAUUUUUGACCGCGUGAUUUGGUGAGAAUAUACCCCGGUAAUUUUCAUGUAAAUGCAUGGUAAUACACUCACGACAUGGUUGAUAAUUCUCACACAAACAUCAUGAUAACUUUUGACCCAAGAAAAAAAUUAUUGACAAACAUACACAGUUAACUUAUAUGGAAAAUUAACAUGUUAAUAUGCGCACAACAGAGUUGAUAACUUACCUAGCCGAAGUGUGAUAAUUUUUUGACCAGGGAAAACAUCUGUUGAAACACUCUCCCCCGGUAACUCAUGUGUACUAGCAUGGUAAUAUACACACAACAAUGCUGAUAACUUACUUAGCCCAGACAUGGUAACUACUUUUGACUUGGGGAGGGGGGUGGUUGUUGAAAAAUAGCAUUGUAAAUUCUGUACAGAAAGAAUGGUACCACACACACAACAGACCUGGUAACUCAUACACAAACAUCACGAUGACUUUGACCCGGAUGGCUUUGUUGAAAACAUACCCCUGAUAACUUUCGUGUAAAUAGCUUGGUACCAUAUGUACCAUAUGUUGGGGAACGUUGUAGAAAAUAAAAAAAUUCCUAUGGUUUCAUCAAGAUCAAUCUAUGAGUUCAUCUAGCAACGAGAGAGAGGAGUGCAUCUACAUACCCUUGUAGAUCGAGCGGAAGCGUUCAAGAGAACGGGGUUGAGGGAGUCGUACUCGUCGUGAUCCAAAUCAUCAGAGAUCCUAGCAUCGAACGAACAGCACCUCCGCGUUCAACACACGUACGGUUGGGAAGACGUCUCCUCCUUCUUGAUCCGGCAAGGGAGGAGGAGAGGUUGAUGAAGAUCCAGCAGCACAACGGCGUGGUGGUGGAUGCAGCAGCAAUCUCGGCAGGGCUUCGCCAAGCUUCUGCGAGAGGGAGAGGUGUAGCAAGGGGAGAGGGAGGCGCCAAGAGCAUGGGUGCGGCUGCCCUUCCUCCCCCCUCUUUAUAUAGGGCCCCUAGGGGGGGCGACGGCCAAGGGGGUGGCUUGCCCCCCAAGGCAAGUGGAGACGCCCCCCACCACUAGGAUUCCAUCCCUAGGCACAGGGGGGGCCAAGGGGGGGCGCACCAGCCCACCAGGGGAUGGUUCCCCUUCCACUUCAGCCCAUGGGGCCCUCCGGGAUAGGUGGCCCCACCCGAUGGACCCCCGGGACCCUUCCGGUGGUCCCGGUACAAUACCGGUGACCCCCGAAACUUUCCCGAUAACCGAAACCUGACUUCAUAUAUAUAAUUCUUUACCUCCGGACCAUUUUGGAACUCCUCGUGACGUCGGGGAUCUCAUCCGGGACUCCGAACAACUUUCGGUUUACUGCAUACUCAUAUCUCUACAACCCUAGCGUCACUGAACCUUAAGUGUGUAGACCCUACAGGUUUGGGAGACACGCAGACAUGACCGAGACGCCUCUCCGGUCAAUAACCAACAGCGGGAUCUGGAUACCCAUGUUGGCUCCCACAUGCUCCUCGAUGAUCUCAUCGGAUGAACCGCGAUGUCGAGGAUUUAAGCAACCCCGUAUACAAUUCCCUUUGUCAAUCGGUACGUUACUUGCCCGAGACUCGAUCGUCGGUAUCCCAAUACCUCGUUUAAUCUCGUUACCGGCAAGUCACUUUACUCGUACCGUAAUGCAUGAUCCCAUGACCAGACACUUGGUCACAUUGAGAUCAUUAUGAUGAUGCAUUACCGAGUGGGCUCAGAGAUACCUCUCCGUCAUACGGAGUGACAAAUCCCAGUCUCGAUUCGUGCCAACCCAACAGACACUUUCGGAGAUACCCGUAGUGCACCUUUAUAGUCACCCAGUUACGUUGUGACGUUUGGCAUACCCAAAGCACUCCUACGGUAUCCGGGAGUUGCACAAUCUCAUGGUCUAAGGAAAUGAUACUUGACAUUUGGAAAAGCUCUAGCUAAACGAACUACACGAUCUUUGAGCUAUGCUUAGGAUUGGGUCUUGUCCAUCACAUCAUUCUCCUAAUGAUGUGAUCCCGUUAUCAAUGACAUCCAAUGUCCAUAGUCAGGAAACCAUGACUAUUUGUUGAUCAAUGAGCUAGUCAACUAGAGGCUCACUAGGGACAUGUUGUGGUCUAUGUAUUCACACCUGUAUUACGAUUUCCGGAUAAUACAAUUAUAGCAUGAAUAACAGACAAUUAUCAUGAACAAAGAAAUAUAAUAAUAACCAUUUUAUUAUUACCUCUAGGGCAUAUUUCCAACAGUCUCCCACUUGCACUAGAGUUCAAUAAUCUAGUUACAUUGUGAUGAAUCGAACACCCAUGGAAUUCUGGUGCUGAUCAUGUUUUGCCCUAGGGAGAGGUUUAGUCAACGGAUCUGCUACAUUCAGGUCCGUAUGUACUUUACAAAUAUCUAUGUCUCCAUCUUGAACAUUUUCACGAAUAGAGUUGAAGCGACGCUUGAUGUGCCUGGUCUUCUUGUGAAACCUGGGCUCCUUGGCAAGUGCAAUAGCUCCAGUGUUGUCACAGAAGAGUUUGAUCGGCCCCGACGCAUUGGGUAUGACUUUUAGGUCGGUGAUGAACUCCUUCACCCAGAUUGCUUCAUGUGCUGCCUCCGAGGCUGCCAUGUACUCUGCUUCACAUGUAGAUCCCGCCAUGACGCUUUGCUUGCAACUGCACCAGCUUACUUCCCCACUAUUCAAAAUAUACAUGUAUCCGGUUUGUGACUUUGAGUCAUCCAGAUCUGUGUCGACCUAACCCUUUACGACGAGCUCUUCGUCACCUCAAAAAACGAGAAACAUAUCCUUAGUCCUCUUUAGGUACUUCAGGAUAUUCUUGACCGCUGUCCAGCGUUCCUUGCCGGGAUUACUUUGGUACUUUCCUACCAAACUUACGGCAAGGCUUACAUCAGGUCUGGUACACAACAUGGCAUACAUAAUAGACCCUAUGGCUGAGGCAUAGGGGAUGACACUCAUCUCUUCUAUAUCUUCUGCCGUGGUCGGGCAUUGAGCCGAGCUUAAUCUCACACCUUGCAAUAUAGGCAAGAACCCUUUCUUGGACUGAUCCAUAUUGAACUUCUUUAAUAUCUUGUCAAGGUAUGUGCUUUGUGAAAGACCUAUGAGGCGUCUCGAUCUAUCCCUAUAGAUCUUGAUGCCUAAUAUGUAAGCAGCUUCUCCAAGGUCCUUCAUUGAAAAACACUUAUUCAAGUAGGCCUUAAUGUUGUCCAAAAGUUCUAUAUCAUUUCCCAUCAGAAGUAUGUCAUCUACAUAUAAUAUGAGAAAUGCUACAGAGCUCCCACUCUCUUUCUUGUAAACGCAGGCUUCUCCAUAAGUCUGCAUAAACCCAAAUGCUUUGAUCAUCUCAUCAAAGUGAAUGUUCCAACUCCGAGAUGCUUGCACCAGCCCAUAAAUGGAUCACUGGAGCUUGCAUACCUUGUUAGCAUUCUUAGGAUCAACAAAACCUUCCGGCUGCAUCAUAUACAGUUCUUCCUUAAGAUAACCGUUAAGGAAUGCCGUUUUGACGUCCAUCUGCCAUAUCUCAUAAUCAUAAUAUGCGGCAAUUGCUAACAUGAUUCGGACGGACUUCAGCUUCGCUACGGGAGAGAAAGUCUCAUCAUAGUCAACCCCUUGAACUUGUCGAUAACCCUUAGUGACAAGUCGAGCUUUAUAGAUGGUAACAUUACCAUCCGCGUCCGUCUUCUUCUUAAAGAUCCAUUUGUUUUCUAUCACUCACCGAUCAUCGGGAAAGUCUGUCAAAGUCCAUACUUUAUUUUCAUACAUGGAUUCUAUCUCGGAUUGCAUGGCUUCAAGCCAUUUAUUGGAAUCUGGGCCCGCCAUCGCUUCUUCAUAGUUCGAAGGUUCACCGUUGUCUAACAACAUGAUUUCUAGGACAGGGUUGCCAUACCACUCUGGUGUGGAAGGUGUCCUUGUGGACCUACGAAGUUCAGUAGAAACUUGAUCCAAAGUACCUUGAUCAUCAUCAUUAAUUUCCUCUCCAGUCGGUGUAGGCACCACAGGAACAUCUUCCUGAGCUGCGCUACUUACCGGUUCAAGAGGCAGUACUUCAUCAAGUUCCACUUUCCUCCCACUUACUUCUCUCGAGAGAAACUCUUUCUCCAGAAAGGACCCAUUCUUGGCAACAAAGAUCUUGCCUUCGGAUCUAAGGUAGAAGGUAUACCCAAUGGUUUCCUUAGGGUAUCCUAUGAAGACGCAUUUUUCUGACUUGGGUUCGAGCUUUUCAGGUUGAAGUUUCUUGACAUAAGCAUCGCAUCCCCAAACUUUUAGAAACGACAGCUUAGGUUUCUUUCCAAACCAUAAUUCAUACGGUGUCGUCUCAACGGAUUUAGACGGUGCCCUAUUUAAAGUGAAUGUAGCUAUCUCUAGAGCGUAUCCCCAAAAAGAUAGCGGUAAAUCGGUAAGAGACAUCAUAGAUCGCUCCAUAUCUAAUAAAGUGCGAUUACGACGUUCGGACACACCGUUACGCUGAGGUGUUCCAGGCAGCGUGAGUUGUGAAACGAUUCCAUAUUUCCUUAAGUGCAUACCAAAUUUGUGACUUAAAUAUUCUCCUCCACGAUCUGAUCGUAAGAACUUUAUUUUUCGGUCACCUUGAUUCUCUACCUCAUUCUGAAAUUCCUUGAACUUUUCAAAGGUCUCAGACUUGUGUUUCAUCAGGUAGACGUACCCAUAUCUACUUAAGUCAUCAGUGAGAGUGAGAACAUAACGAUAUCCUCCGCGAGCCUCAAUGCUCAUUGGACCGCACACAUUAGUAUGUAUGAUUUCCAAUAAGUUGGUUGCUCGCUCCAUUGUUCCGAAGAACGGAGUCUUGGUCAUUUUGCCCAUGAGGCAUGGUUCACAUGUGUCAAAUGAUUCAUAAUCGAGAGACUCUAAAAGUCCAUCAAUAUGGAGCUUCUUCAUGCGCUUGACACCAACGUGACCAAGGCGGCAGUGCCACAAGUAUGUGGGACUAUCGUUAUCAACUUUACAUCUUUUGGUAUUCACACUAUGAAUAUGUGUAACAUCACGUUCGAGAUUCAUUAAGAAUAAACCAUUGACCAUCGGGGCAUGACCAUAAAACAUAUCUCUCAUAUAAAUAGAACAACCAUUAUUCUCAGAUUUAAAUGAGUAGCCAUCUCGUAUUAAACAAGAUCCAGAUACAAUGUUCAUGCUCAAAGCUGGCACUAAAUAACAAUUAUUGAGGUUAAAACUAAUCCCGUAGGUAAAUGUAGAGGUAGCGUGCCGACGGCGAUCACAUCGACUCUGGAACCAUUCCCGACGCGCAUCGUCACCUCGUCCUUCGCCAGUCUUCGCUUAUUCCGCAGCUCCUGCUUUGAGUUACAAAUAUGAGAAACGGCACCGGUAUCAAAUACCCAGGAGCUACUACAAGCACUGGUAAGGUACACAUCAAUUACAUGUAUAUCACAUAUACCUUUAGUGUUGCCGGCCUUCUUGUCCGCUAAGUAUUUGGGGCAGUUCCGCUUCCAGUGACCCUUCCCUUUGCAAUAAAAGCAGUCAGUCUCAAGCUUGGGUCCAUUCUUUGACUUCUUCCCGGCAGUUGGCUUACCGGGCGCGGUAACUUCCUUGCCGUCCUUCUUGAAGUUCUUCUUACCCUUGCCUUUCUUGAAUUUAGUGGUUUUAUUCACCAUCAACACUUGAUGUUCCUUUUUGAUCUCUACCUCUGUUGAUUUCAUCAUUGAAUAUACUUCAGGAAUGGUCUUUUCCAUCCCCUGCAUAUUGAAGUUCAUCACAAAGCUCUUGUAGCUCGGUGGAAGCGACUGAAGGAUUCUGUCAAUAACCGCGUCAUCCGGGAGAUUAACUCCCAGCUGAGUCAAGCGGUUAUGCAACCCAGACAUUUUGAGUAUGUGCUCACUGACUGAACUAUUUUCCUCCAUCUUACAGCUGAAGAACUUGUCGGAGACUUCAUAUCUCUCGACCCGGGCAUGAGCUUGGAAAACCAUUUUCAGCUCUUCGAACAUCUCAUAUGCUCCGUGUUGCUCAAAACGCUUUUGGAGCCCCGGUUCUAAGCUGUAAAGCAUGCCGCACUGAACGAGGGAGUAAUCAGCAGCACGAGACUGCCAAGCGUUCAUGACGUCUUGGUUCUCUGGGAUGGGAGCUUCACCUAGCGGUGUUUCUAAGACAAAAUCUUUCUUUGCAGCUAUGAGGAUGAUCCUUAGGUUCCGGACCCAGUCCGUAUAGUUGUUGCCAUCAUCUUUCAGCUUGGUUUUCUCUAGGAAAGCGUUGAAGUUGAGGUGGACAUGAGCGUUGGCCAUUUGAUCUACAAGACAUAUUUGCAAAGGUUUUUAGACUAAGUUCAUGAUAAUUAAGUUCAUCUAAUCAAAUUAUUUAAUGAACCCCCACUCAGAUUAGACAUCCCUCUAGUCAUCUAAGUGAUACAUGAUCCGAGUUGACUAGGCCGUGUCCGAUCAUCACGUGAGACGGACUAGUCAUCAUCGGUGAACAUCUCCAUGUUGAUCGUAUCUUCCAUACGACUCAUGUUCGACCUUUCGGUCUCUUGUGUUCCGAGGCCAUGUCUGUACAUGCUAGGCUCGUCAAGUUAACCUAAGUGUUUUGCAUGUGUAAAUCUGUCUUACACCCGUUGUAUGUGAACAUUAGAAUCUAUCACACCCGAUCAUCACGUAGUGCUUCGAAACGACGAACUUUCGCAACGGUGCACAGUUAGGGGGAACAUUUUCUUGAAAUUAUUAUGAGGGAUCAUCUUAUUUACUACCGUCGUUCUAAGUAAACAAGAUGCAUAAACAUAAUAAACAUCACAUGCAAUUAAACAGUAACAUGAUAUGACCAAUAUCAUAUAGCUCCUUUGAUCUCCAUCUUCGGGGAUCCAUGAUCAUUUUCGUCACCGGCAUGACACCAUGAUCUCCAUCAUCAUGAUCUCCAUCAUCGUGUCUCCAUGAAGUUGCUCGCCAACUAUUACUUCUACUUCUAUGGCUAACGGUUUAGCAAUAAAGUAAAGUAAUUACAUGGCGUUAAAUUAUUGACACACAGGUCAUACAAUAAUUAAGACAACUCCUAUGGCUCCUGCCGGUUGUCAUACUCAUCGACAUACAAGUCGUGAUUCCUAUUACAAGAAUAUGAUCUCAUACAUCACAAUAUAUCAUUCAUCAUUCAUCACAACUUUUGGCCAUAUCACAUCACAAAUCAUAUACUGCAAAAACAAGUUAGACGUCCUCUAAUUGUUGUUGCAUGUUUUACGUGGCUGCAAUAGGGUUCUAACAAGAACGUUUUCUUACGUACGUAAAAGCCAGAACAUGAUUUGUCAACUUCUAUUUACCCUUCAUAAGGACCCUUUUCAUCGAAUCCUCUCCAACUAAAGUGGGAGAGACAGACACCCGCCAGCCACCUUAUGCAACUAGUGCAUGCUAGUCGGUGGAACCUGUCUCACGUAAGCGUACGUGUAAGGUCGGUCCGGGCCGCUUCAUCCCACAAUACCGUUGAAGCAAAAUAAGACUAGUAGUGGCAAGAAAGUUGACAACAUCUACGCCCACAACAGAUUUGUGUUCUACUCGUGCAAAGAGAACUACACAUAGAGCUAGCUCAUGAUGCCACUGUUGGGGAACGUUGCAGAAAAUAAAAAAUUUCCUACGGUUUCACCAAGAUCAAUCUAUGAGUUCAUCUAGCAACGAGAGAGAGGAGUGCAUCUACAUACCCUUGUAGAUCGAGCGGAAGCAUUCAAGAGAACGGGGUUGAGGGAGUCGUACUCGCCGUGAUCCAAAUCACCGGAGAUCCUAGCGUCGAACGGACGGCACCUCCGCGUUCAACACACGUACGGUUGGGAAGACGUCUCCUCCUUCUUGAUCCAGCAAGGGGGAAGGAGAGGUUGAUGAAGAUCCAACAGCACGACGGCGUGGUGGUGGAUGCAGCAGCGAUCUCGGCAGGGCUUCGCCAAGCUUCUGCGAGAGGGAGAGGUGUAGCAAGGGGAGAGGGAGGUGCCAAGAGCAUGGGUACGGCUGCCCUCCCUCCCCCCUCUUUAUAUAGGGCCCCUAGGGGGGCGCCGGCCCUAGGAGAUGCAAUCUCGUAGGGGGGGCGGCGGCCAAGGGGGUGGCUUGCCCCCCAAGGCAAGUGGAGACGCCCCCCACCCCUAGGGUUUCCAACCCUAGGCGCAGGAGGGGCCCAAGGGGGGGCGCACCAGCCCAUCAGGGGCUGGUUCCCCUCCCACUUCAGCCCAUGGGGCCCUCCGGGAUAGGUGGCCCCACCCGGUGGACCCCCGGGACCCUUUCGGUGGUCCCGAUACAAUACCGGUGAUCCCCGAAACUUUCCCGAUGCCGAAAGCUAACUUCCUAUAUAUAAUUCUUUACCUCUGGACCAUUCCGGAACUCCUCGUGAUAUCCGGGAUCUCAUUCGAGACUCCAAACAACUUUUGGUUUACUGCAUACUCAUAUCUCUACAACCCUAGCGUCACCGAACCUUAAGUGUGUAGACCCUACGGGUUCGGGAGCACGCAGACAUGACCAAGACGCCUCUCCAGUCAAUAACCAACAGCGGGAUCUGGAUACCCAUGUUGGCUCCCACAUGCUCCUCGAUGAUCUCAUCGGAUGAACCACGAUGUCGAGGAUUUAAGCAACCCCGUAUACAAUUCCCUUUGUUAAUCGGUACGUUACUUGCCUGAGACUCGAUCGUCGGUAUCCCAAUACCUCGUUUAAUCUCGUUACCGGCAAGUCACUUUACUCGUACCGUAAUGCAUGAUCCCAUGACCAGACACUUGGUCACAUUGAGCUCAUUAUGAUGAUGCAUUACCGAGUGGGCCCAGAGAUACCUCUCCAUCAUACGGAGUGACAAAUCCCAGUCUCGAUUCGUGCCAACCCAACAGACACUUUCGGAGAUACCCGUAGUGCACCUUUAUAGUCACCCAGUUACGUUGUGAUGUUUGGCACACCCAAAGCACUCCUACGGUAUUCGAGAGUUGCACAAUCUCAUGGUCUAGGAAAUGAUACUUGACAUUUGGAAAAGCUCUAGCUAAACGAACUACAUGAUCUUUGAGCUAUGCUUAGGAUUGGGACUUCUCCAUCACAUCAUUCUCCUAAUGAUGUGAUCCCGUUAUCAAUGACAUCCAAUAUCCAUAGUCAGGAAACCAUGACUAUCUGUUGAUCAACGAGCUAGUCAACUAGACGCUCACUAGGGACAUGUUGUGGUCUAUGUAUUCACACGUGUAUUAUGAUUUCUGGAUAAUACAAUUAUAGCAUGAAUAACAGACAAUUAUCAUGAACAAAGAAAUAUAAUAAUAACCAUUUUAUUAUUGCCUUUAGGGCAUAUUUCCAACACCAUAUACAUGAUAACACAUGCACAAACACCGGUAACUUUGACCCGAGGAGGGACGGUGGGGGGAGGUGAGGAAGUUGUUCGAAAAUAUACCCUCUCCUAAUAACUUCUGUGUAAAUAAAAAGGUAAUAUACGCAACGUAGACUUGAUAACUCACUAUAAAUAUCGUGGUAACUUUGACCACGGGGGAUGAAGUUGUUUGAAAACAUACACUCGAUAACUUAUGUGUAAAUAGUGUGAUAAUAUAUGAACCGCGGACGUGAUAACUCACGCACAAACACCAUGGUAACUUUGCCUCGGUAAAAAAAGUUAUUGAGAACAUACCACGGUAACUCAUGUGUAAACAACAUGAUAAGACACACACCGGAGCUGAUAACUUACUUAGCUCGUGCCGGUAACUAUUUGCACGGAAAAAAGGUCAUCAAAACAUAUCAAUAUGGAAUUUAGUUUCGUAGGUCUAGUCGUGGCAGAUUUUUUAUGUGACAAUGAUUUUUUGAUCGGACCGACGAUUUGAUCUAUAAACCGAAGUUUCGAAAUAUGGGAGAAUCUAUGAUGAUAUCAGAUUUUCUUUCUUGUUCCUCUAAUGCAUGCACGCAUGUGCAUGUAAAGGGAAAGUUAAAGGAAUCAUUUUCAUGCCCGGUAAUUUUCUGUGUAAACAACAUGAUAAUUUAUGCAUCACAACAUGAUAAGUUAUGUUGCAAAGGCGCGGUGACUUCUUACCUAAAAAAAGUCGUCGGAACAUACCAAUAUGGGAUCUAGUUUUUAAGGUCUCGUCGCAACGAAUCUUUUACGUGAAAACGGUUUUUCAAUCUGAUCAACGGUUUGAACUACAAAGCAUUUUGUACUUUAGAUGAAAUCUUUGCUGACAUUAGUUUUUUUUUUGCAUGCAGCGUUGUUUAUUAGGGGAAAGACAUAAAUUACACACGCAUGGAGCGGGUCUCUGCGUCUCCGCGCCUACAUGCAUGGAGCAUUUCCCUCAUUCGCAAAAAAGGAAGAAGCAUUUCCCUAAUAGGAAAAAAAAACUUUGCACGAAGCACGACUUUGCCUCCUCCUCGAUCCCACACCCCCCACACUCGCAUCAAGUGAAGUGCAGCAGCUAUAGCUGGCCAAAUGGGCCGGUUUUUUCGGGCCGGCCCGUGAGCACGCCGGCACGGCCCGCCUUGGGCCAGGCACGGCACGGACUAAACGGGCCGGGCCAGGCACGCGGCACGCCCUGGGCCGUGCCUGGGCCUGGAGCCUAGGCACGCGGGCCGGCACGACACGGCCCGAUUAAGUUUUUUUUAUUUUUUUAUACAUCUAUAUAUGACCCAAUAUGUAAAAAUAAGCUAAAAAACGCUCAGUGCGUCAAAUAAUAGGCUGAAAAUAUGCGGCCCACCGUGCUAAACGGGCCAACGUGCCGGCCCGUUUACUAACUGGGCCGUGCCUGGGCCUGGGGGCACAGCACGCGGGCCAUCACGGCACGGCCCGUAUAGUAAUCGUGCCCUGGCGGGCCAUGCCGGGCCAAGCACGAUUAUAAUGGGCCGGGCCGUGCCGGGCCGGGCCGGCCCGUUUGGCCAGGUAUGGCAGCAGCCCAGCCCAUUCCCGUAGGUGACCAGCCACCCACACGCGACACGAGUCCUCCCAUCGAGGCGAAAAAGGAAAAACCAAACUCCACUUCUCUCCCAAUCCCGAAAGAAGAGAAGAAAAGGGGGGAAAACUGUCUUCCACCUCCNNNNNNNNNNNNNNNNNNNNNNNNNNNNNNNNNNNNNNNNNNNNNNNNNNNNNNNNNNNNNNNNNNNNNNNNNNNNNNNNNNNNNNNNNNNNNNNNNNNNNNNNNNNNNNNNNNNNNNNNNNNNNNNNNNNNNNNNNNNNNNNNNNNNNNNNNNNNNNNNNNNNNNNNNNNNNNNNNNNNNNNNNNNNNNNNNNNNNNNNNNNNNNNNNNNNNNNNNNNNNNNNNNNNNNNNNNNNNNNNNNNNNNNNNNNNNNNNNNNNNNNNNNNNNNNNNNNNNNNNNNNNNNNNNNNNNNNNNNNNNNNNNNNNNNNNNNNNNNNNNNNNNNNNNNNNNNNNNNNNNNNNNNNNNNNNNNNNNNNNNNNNNNNNNNNNNNNNNNNNNNNNNNNNNNNNNNNNNNNNNNNNNNNNNNNNNNNNNNNNNNNNNNNNNNNNNNNNNNNNNNNNNNNNNNNNNNNNNNNNNNNNNNNNNNNNNCCGCCUCCGCCGCUCCGCUCCCGCCGGACGCUGGAGCUGCCAGACGACGUCAUGGAGGAGAUCUUCCUCCGCCUACCGGCGGACAACCCCGCGAGCCUCGUCCGCAUGGCCGGCGGCUGCAAGAGCUGGCUGGCCAUGGUCUCGGACCCCAACUUCGCCCCCGCCUACCGCAGGCUCCGCGACGCGCCGCCCAUGCUGGGCUUCCUCUACAACUACCGCUACACCGACGAGGGAGCACCCUACUGGACGUCCCACUUCCGCGCCACCGCGACCCUCCCCCCGCAGGUGCGCCGCGACCGCAAGCACUAGCGCGCUCUCGACUCCCGGCACGGCCUCGUCCUCUUCGACACCCCUGAGAGUGACGGGUACCUCGUCGUCUCCGACCUCGUCACCGGGGAGCACUGGAAAAUCGGCGCCCACAUCGCGUUUCCGGAUGCGUGUAAUGCUGCAGUGCUCUGCGCCAAGGACGGAUAUGACCACCGUGAUUGCCAUGGCGGCCCUUUCCUCGCGGCCUUCGUGGACUCCGUCGCGGCAGGGAACCGGAGGGUAAGCCGCGCCACCUUCUACACGUCAACUACUCGCCAGUGGAGCGACGCGACCUUCGUCGAGCAACCCAAUGUCAUCGAUGCCAGGGGCACAGUGCUGUGCUGGGAAAUAAGGUCUAUGUCCCCUGUGUGAAGGAUGGCAGUGUCGUGGAGUACAACACGCGUGAGAACAAGCUAUCUGUGAUCAAGGUGACAUUUGAGGUCCAGGACCAGAUGCAGCAGCCGUGGCUUGACCUCAUGGGGGUGGAGGACGGAAUGCUGCUGUUUGCGUCUGUGGUGAAGCCUAGACGCUACCUAUGGUCAAUGGAGGCUGGUCCCAGAGGAGCUGCGGGACGGGCACGAAGCAGGUUCAUCGAGCUCGGGCCGUUGCUCCCUAGUACUGUCCUCGUGGACAACACCGAAGUGUCGGCGGUUGGUUUUGCGGAAGGUGUUGGUGUCAUCUUCAUCAAGACAAAAGUUGGGUUGUACACAGUUCAUCUCAAAUCAAAACAAAGC